UCUACGAAAGAGAGAUUAACUACCCCAUAGUAUCUUGAAGACACAUGUCUAUGAGAUUAAAGCUUCGGCACUUUGAGAUGGGCGUGCGGCUGAUUAGGUAGUUGGUAGGGUAACGGCCUACCAAGCCGACGAUCAGUAGCUGAUGUGAGAGCAUGAUCAGCCACACGGGCACUGAGACACGGGCCCGACUCCUACGGGAGGCGGCAGUGAGGAAUAUUGGUCAAUGGAGGAAACUCUGAACCAGCCAUGCCGCGUGGAGGACGAAGGUCCUCUGGAUUGUAAACUCCUUUUAUAAAAGAAGAAACCCCAUUUUUCUAAAUGGGUUGACGGUACUUUAUGAAUAAGCACCGGCUAACUCCGUG
rnacentral:rRNA from 1 species